rnacentral:tRNA from 1 species
GGAGUAUAGCUCAGUGGUAGAGUGCCUGCUUAGCAUGCACAAGGUCCUGGGUUCAGUCCGCAGUACCUCCA